rnacentral:lncRNA from 1 species
UGAGCAUUAAAAGAAUCCUUAAGAAAUCCUAAAGAAAUAUUAGAAUAAUCACAAAUAUAUCUUAAAUAAAUCUCAAUCAAGUCUUAAUUUAAUUCUAAUUAAAAUCCUAAUGGACUUUAAUCAAAUUCUAUGCCAAAUCUUAAAUCCUAAGCAAACUUUAAUCCUAAAACAAAUUCUAAAUAAAUCCUAAAUCCUAAAUCAAAUCCUAGACAAAUUAUGAAUCCUAAACCAAAUCCUAAAUAAAUUCUAAAUCCUAAAAAAAUCCUAGAGAAAUCUUAAAUCCUAAAUCAAAUCCUAAUUAAAUUCUAAAUCCUAAACAAAUCCUAAAUUCUAAAUCAGAUCCUAGACAAAUCCUAAAUCCUAAAUAAAUCCUAAAUUCUAAAUCAAAUCCUAGAUAAAUCCUAAAUCCUAAACCAAAUCCUAAAUAAAUUCUAAAUCUUAAACAAAUCCUAGAAAAAUCUUAAAUCCUAAAUCCUAAAUAAAUCCUAAAUUCUAAAUCAAAUCCUAAACAAAUCCUAAAUCCUAAAUAAAUCCUAAAUUCUAAAUCAAAUACUAAACAAAUCCUAAAUUUUAAACUAAAUCCUAAAUAAAUCCUAAAUCUUAAACCAAAUUCCAGACAAACUCUAAACUCUAAAUCAAAUCCUAAAUAAAUCCUAAAUUCUAAAUCAAAUCCUAAAUAAAUCUUAAAUCCUAAAUUAAAUCCUAGAUAAAAUCUAAAUUUUAAAUCAAAUCCUAAUCAAAACCUAAAUCAAAUCUUAGAUAAAUCCUAAAUCAAAUCCUAAAUAAAUCCUUAACUUUAAACCAAAUCCUAAAAAAAUCCUAAAUCCUAAAUCAAAUACUAGACAAAUCCUAAACCUUAAAUCAAAUCCUUAAAAAAUCCUAAAUCUUAAACCAAA